rnacentral:lncRNA from 1 species
UAUGACACACCCCGUCCCGAAGGAGGGCAUGCUGGCCGUCACGUGAGAGUGACGUAACCAUUUGCACAGUACGGAAGCUUUAAGAUACAAUUUAUAAGUUGAUACACCCGAAGGUGAGUCCUAAUUUUGUCCAAUCUGUCAGAACACCGUCGAAUUCCUCGUAGUCACCACACCUUUGUGAUUCCUGAACCUGGAGGGGCGCAAAACCAAAAUUGAGUGGGUCAGUAAAACAAUUCUUUUUCCAAAUCCAAACAUUUCUCAAAACGUUGUAACCCCUCUCCGUAAAACCUGUAUACUUUCCCAGAAAUGUAAAAUAUAAAUAUACAUAUAUAUUCUCAAGACUUCAAGUCGUUAACUCAACAUUUUCAUAACAAUUAUGCCAUGCCACAUCAUCUCAACAGUAAUAAGGUAUGAAUGCAUCAACAUAAUCAUAUCAGGUGCAAGAAAGUAAUCAACCGUAGGCCCUCUAAUAGCCCUGUACGGUUGAACCUAGAGCUCAAAAUCUAUCAUUAUCACUCUACCGGAGUCACCUCUGUGACCCGUCCGGCCUUCUGCACACAAGUUACGCUCUAGUGCUUCUCAUAAAUCAUCUGUGCACAUAAUCUAAGGUCACCCACCAGUCGGAAUCUCACUAACACUCUCGCGACUGGUCUGUCGUACCCACUCCGCGUGGACUGUACGACUAGCAUCUACUUGGAUCCAAGGCGAGCGUGCGAUGUGGUGAAUACUAUAAGCACUAAACCAUGGUGCAGGAUUUGAGCUCAAUAUAUAUCAUCAUCAUCAUAACAGUAAUUAAAUACUCAUCUGUGCGUCCACCGCACCAUUUCAUACAUAUGCAUCAUAAAUCAAUUCUUACCUGUGCGUCCACCGCACCAAUUCAUACAUAUGCAUCAUAAAUCAAUUCUUACCUGUGCGUCCACCGCACCAAUUCAUACAUAUGCAUCAUAAAUCAAUUCUUACAUGUGCGUCCACCGCACCAAUUCAUACAUAUGCAUCAUAUAUUAAUUCAUGCAUGGCAUUUCAACUCACAUUUCUAUAUACUUUUCAUAUCAAUUCUAUGCAUGGUAUUUCACUUCCCGUUUUUCCACAUAACUCAUAUGCAUUUCAUUUUAAACAUAUUUUCAUUUCAAUUCAAUUUCUGGGAAACGUCAAGUAUAUAUAUAUACGGAAAACAAAACUGCCCACUCACCUGGAGUUCGUCCAACAACUCCCUAGCACCACACAUCAAGGCGUCAUGACGAUCGCCGCCUAGAAUAGUAAUAGUAAUCAAAUCCAGGCUCAGAAUUCAUAUCGAUAGAAUACAUAACUUAUAUAAAAUACGUCACUACGUUGAUCGAUCCGGAAGAUCUGCCACUCAGAUUUUAAAUCCAUAACUUCCAGAGGUCCACAUUAUACCUCUAGGACAACAUCCUAAAAUUUCAUUACCAUCCAACGGUCGGAUCUCCGUCAAUUUCCAAAACUAAGUGACGGUUAACAUUUUAUAUUAUGGACUUACAAUUCCAAUUCCGGAAGAUCCGUAACUCGGAUUCCCAAUCCGUAAGUUCCAAUAAUCCUCAAAUAUUACGUAUUACAACGUAUCAAAUUUUGGUGACGAUCCAACGGUCGGAUCAUCAAUUCACAUUUUCACCUAAAUGUGAAAACUAUAAAACGUUAUUUGAACACCUAACCAACAAUCCUCAAUAACUUUCUCAUACGGUGUUCAAUUUAGGUAUAUGAAUAUACCACAGUGAUCUACUCGACGUCACGGACGUCGACAUAUUUUUAAAAUAAUUUUAUUUUUAUUUUUUAUUUUUACUGUAGCACCUUCUUCUUCCUUGGGUCGCCGGACUGGUUUUUCCGGCGGCCGUUUUCCGGGCAGUUUUUCAAAUUGCCAUAACUUUGUCAUUUCUCAACGAAAUCAAGUGAUUCAAAAACGAAAGUUGUAGCCCUUGAAGAGAAAAAGAGAAUGGUACCUUGCACAACACCUAGUUCGCCGUGGUUUGGCCGGAAACUUCCUCGAAAGCCUCGGAGGUCGCCGGAAACUGGGUAUUUUUCAAAUGAGUAUAACUUCUUCAAUACUCAACGAAAUUGAGUGAAACAAAAAGGAAAGUUGUAGUACUUGACGAGACGAAGAGAUUGAUACCUACCUCGACUCCUAACUCGCCGGGUAUUCGCCGGAAAACGCCUCGAAAGCUCCGGCCAAACUUUGAACUUGUCGAUCUCCGUGUUCUUACGUCCAAAAACUUCCAACGAAGCACUCCGAGCUUCCUUGGGACCUUACUAAACUCGCUGUGAUCUUGUUUUAGCCUAAAACGUAACCAAUUCAAAGCUCAUGAACAGUGUCAUCUCACGGCAACUUUAGAACUAGGGUUUUCGAAGUGAAACUCACCUGAAAUUGGUAUCCCCGUGCUCGUGAAGUCCCCAGGAUCACGAUGGUGGUCUUAAAUGGAACGUUGGUACAAGAUUGUGGUGGUUCUUGGUGGUUGCCGUGAGUUCGAGAGUAAGAGAGAGAAUGAGAGAGUUUCAGAAAAGAAUAAGAGAGAGAGAGAGUCUGGAAUGAAAGAAGAAGAGAGAAGAAAGGUUACGGGUUUUAGGGAGGGAAUUCAGGGUAGGAGGCCCUACCUAAGUCCAAGCACAAAUUAACACAUACAAAUAUAAAUCUAACCCUAGUUUAGGAUCUUAAAGUAAAACAAAUGUCAUACAUUUACACACCUUAAUCCCGUUUAAGGUCACAUUGGUCAUCUCACGUCCUCGGAAUUAAUAAUUCCGGGACGGGCUGUGACAAUCUCCCCUCCUUAUAGAAUUUCGUCCCCGAAAUUCCAAUCACCAACCAGAACAUCAAAACUCAUAAAAUAGUCUCGGAUACAUAACUCUCAUCCGUUCUUCUGUCUCCCAUGUAAUUUUCUACUGAAUGAUUUCCUUCACAAAGCUUUUACUACUUACUCUGUCUUAAUUCUUAGGACCUUCUUUUUCCAAUCCAAAGUCGACAUUAGUUCCUCACCAAUCAGAUCCGGCUUAAUUCUCAAUAGUUGCACCAAAGUCCCAUGUAACGACUCUGCCACUUAGUGACAACGCAUCGAACACAAAAUACAUUAUGUGCCUUAGCCAAUUCUGAAGGCAUCACAAACUUGUAUGCAAGUUUAUUGAUUCCUUUAGUGAAAAAAAAAAAUGGUCUGAUGUGUCUAAAUCUUAUCUUGUCUCUUUUCCAAUUCUCGUCAUUUCUGUUCGCGGUGAAUUUUCCAAAAAUAUCAAACCAUUUACCUUACACACUCGAUUAGUGGCAUAUCCAUCUGUUGAUCUCUUUUUGCCAUUCCUGGUUACUUCAGGUUAACUUAAUCACCUGAAUACUUUGAGGAGACUCAUCCAUAGUCUCAGGGUCUACUAAAACUCUUUCUUGAUCGAAUCUUUCUCUACCCAGAAACAUUCCAUUCACAAGUCAUCAAAAACCGACUCACGUGACACAUUUCAUGGUCCUUAUGGCGUUACUUCGGAAACUGCACAACCAACAUACUUAAGAAACUUAGCAGUUCCGUAAUCCAAUUCUCUUUUCCAUAAAACAAAUUAGUAAUGUUGCACUGUCUGGGAAAGGUUGUUACUCAACACUGGAGUAAAUGUACUAACUUGUUACUUAACAAGUAUAACUUCUUCUCGAUCUUCCAUUCUUAACUUUACUUUAGUUGGUUUCCAAUCCACAAGAAGAUAAUCUUGGCAAACGUGCCAGACAUUAAUCUUACUGUAGUCUUCUCGCCAAGUGCUUGAGCUAGAACAAACUUUACGAUCACCCUGAUCGUACAAUCAUGUUCAUUAAACAAUACAAUUCACUUUCGCUGCCUCAUAUCAAAUUCCUUCCAAGUAAUGGAUAUUGAAGACUUUUUGGAUUCGUAAAAAAAAAUCUUGCAUUCCCACUAAAAUAUAAUGUCUCCAUAACUUCACAGCACGAAUGGUAAUCGUGACUUCCAAAUCACCAGUAGGGUAAUUCAUCUUAUGAGAUUCCAUUUAUCGUGAAACGUAUGCAAUCACCCUAACAUUUGCAUCAACAUGCAUCCAAUACCAUUCAAGAAACAUCACUAAAAAUUUAUGAUUACCAUUAUUCUCUGGGAUUACCAAAAUACGUGCAUGAGUGAGGAAAUACUUCAGUUGUUGAAUCCUUUGCUUACAAUUCCUUCCCACUCAUACCUAACCUCUUUUCUCAACAGUCUCGUCAAUGACAAAGCAAUGACUGAAAAAUCUUUCACAACCAUCCAAGAUAGCCUGGUAAGCUAAGAAAUUCCAAAUCUCAAUUACGACUCGUGGUUGUUCCAAAUUUUAAUUUCUGUUACCUUUUAAGGAUUCACUUGAAUACCUUAAGAAUAUAUAACAUAUCCCAGAAAUGCUGCUUGAUUCAUCCAACAUUCGCAUUUGCUAAACUUAGCAUACAACCAACGUUCUCUUAAUCUUUGCUUCACCGACUUAAUACGUUUACAUGCUCUGCUCUAGGCUUAGAGUAUACCAGAAUAUCUUCAAUGAAAAUGAUAUCUAUUUAUCAAGGCAUUAUUGGAAUACUUCAUCCAAUAACUCAUAAAACAGCAUGAGUAUCCAUAUAGCAUCACCAAACUUCAUAAAGACUAUAACGAGUCCAGAAAACCAUCUUAUGAUCAAUGUCACUUAUAAUAUUCAAUUGGUAGUAACCAGAUCUCAAUUCAAUCUUUGAAUCUUCGCAAUUACUUCUGAGCUGGUUAAAUAAACAUCAGUACAUCACCAUGGAUAACGGUUCUCAAUCGUUACCCGACUCCAUUGUCUAUAAUCAAUGAACAGUCUCAAGAUCCAUUUUCUUCCUCACCAACAAACUGGGGCUCCUCAAAAGUGUUGUACUAGGUUGAAUAAAACUUUUAUCAACCAAUUCCCUCAACUGAAUUUCCAAUUCCCUUAACUCAUCAUGAACCAAUCUCCAAUAUAAAUUUAUACCUGGCAACAAAUCAAUAGUGAACCUCAUAUCUCUGCCUGAAGGCAAUCCAGGUAUACUUUCAGGGAAGACAUCAAGAAAAGUCUAACUCUUUCGACAUUAUUCACACUACUCCAAACAACAUCAUUUAGCACCACAUGAGCUAAGUAUUUUUGACAGCCUUUCGAAAACAAUCUCUUUGCUCUCACAACAUAAAUAAUGGCUGAACUCAAUCCAUUUUGCAUACUUACAAAAGUAAUCUCUGUUCAUCCAGAUCGAUGGAAAGUACUGGUUUCCCAUAACAUUUCGUCUUGUCACAAUUAUAACCAACCAAUCUAAUGGAAAUAAUUUAACCGACACAAUACAUACUCUAUUACUACUAAGCAUUCUGAAUAAGUACAAAAUAAUCUACCGGUUUACUUACUUAACGAAUCCACGAAUGAGUUAUUAAUAUUACGGUCUGCAGCCCGCAAUACUGAUAAAUCAUCGUUGUCUCGAUAAGUAGGCAACCACUCUCAAAGAUAUAACAUUACUAUUUUGUCACUCAAUGCAAAAUACAUACACUCAUCUCAACUACAUUUAUUUACUACUCUCAAGGUAAUAACAUACAUAAUAAGAAAUAUAUCAGCCGAAGUCAACUAGAAUGAUCAAUACGACUGAUUCAACUCUUAUCUCAAUAAUACGUCGGCCGGAUCCACUCCGCGUGGUCGGUACGGCCGAGCCUAUAACUCACAAAUUUCGCAUGUGUCAAUCGAAUCCACUUCUCGUGGCCUGUACGGCUGAACAUAUAACUCAUCAAAUUUCUCUGUACUCACAGUCAAUCCGACCAAACUACUAAGUUUAUAACUCUUCUGAAUCGACACUAUGAUAUCAUGGAAAAUUAUUGAGUACAACUGAUUCUAGGGACGAUUCACAAUUCUGUGUCCCCUCUGUUCACAUAAACACAUUCAUUAAUUUCACACUUCCCAAAGUGUUAAUUUUUGUACCUGCAGCACAAGGUACAUUUCCUUUACUCGAGACACCUUGUCUCAAAUAUCUGGGAUUACCAGUAUAUCCAUCACUUUUAUUCUGACCAGCGACAUUAAAACCUCAGCUGGAAAAAUUAACUCUAGCUUCACUUCUUUCGAAGCUCUGAAUCUUUCUAUAUCCUUGAUAUGACGAAUCAUUAACUUUAUCGUCUUCUUUUAAUUCCUAUUCUUUUCUUAUUCUUCUUUAUUCUCGUUGCUCAUGUUCUCAGAGUCCUCAAGAUUCAACAACAUCUAGCAUACUCCUGAUAAGAACUACAAUGGAUAGUGGUCACCCAAAAUACCACUUCCCUUUUGUCACCCAGCUUAAAACAACAUAACACCUCCACCAAAUUAACAACAAUAUCUGGAUGGAACGAGGCUAGUCUGAAAACUUUCUAUAAUAUCCCUCGAUCAUCACCUUCCUUGUCUCAUAUUUGUAAAUUCUUGUUUACUACCAUCGAUAAAUGCCGGAGGGAUAAACUUUUCCUUUAAACAAGUCCUUAAACAAUUCUCAAUCGACUGAUUCCUCUGGUGACAACAAUUCAUACUCCUGUUUCCACCAGGAUACAAAUUCAUAACCAAAACCAGGUAGUCGUCUCGACCCCCUGUCAGAAGGAAAUUUCCUUUGACUUGCAUAAUCUGAAACAUCUUUUCCAAAUGGUUAAACCGUUACUUCGCUCUCUCAGGUUCAUCAUUUCAUAAGGUGAUUCAAGUUCAACUCAUUACCCAUCUUAAAAUGUCCCUUUAGACAAUAGACUGAAUCACCAUAGUAAUAGUUUCCCCCUAAACCGCUAAAUCAGGGAGACUAAGUUCCUCUAACUACGUGGCUUGCUACGAGGCGGUGUAGUUCUGACAGAAUUCACUAGAACUUCUCAAGAUGUCCAAGAUUGCAACCAUGCUCUGAUACCAACUGACACACCCCGUCCCGAAGGAGGGCAUGCUGGCCGUCACGUGAGAGUGACGUAACCAUUUGCACAGUACGGAAGCUUUAAGAUACAAUUUAUAAGUUGAUACACCCGAAGGUGAGUCCUAAUUUUGUCCAAUCUGUCAGAACACCGUCGAAUUCCUCGUAGUCACCACACCUUUGUGAUUCCUGAACCUGGAGGGGCGCAAAACCAAAAUUGAGUGGGUCAGUAAAACAAUUCUUUUUCCAAAUCCAAACAUUUCUCAAAACGUUGUAACCCCUCUCCGUAAAACCUGUAUACUUUCCCAGAAAUGUAAAAUAUAAAUAUACAUAUAUAUUCUCAAGACUUCAAGUCGUUAACUCAACAUUUUCAUAACAAUUAUGCCAUGCCACACAUCAUCUCAACAGUAAUAAGGUAUGAAUGCAUCAACAUAAUCAUAUCAGGUGCAAGAAAGUAAUCAACCGUAGGCCCUCUAAUAGCCCUGUACGGUUGAACCUAGAGCUCAAAAUCUAUCAUUAUCACUCUACCGGAGUCACCUCUGUGACCCGUCCGGCCUUCUGCACACAAGUUACGCUCUAGUGCUUCUCAUAAAUCAUCUGUGCACAUAAUCUAAGGUCACCC